CGUCUGGGCAGUCCCAAGCCGCAGUCGACCCGACUCAUCUGUUUGCUAAAACCCUAAACCCAGCCUUCUGGAGACUUCCUCUCCACUCUCUAAAUUCUCCCUCGCCCCCUCACGCUCUCCCCCUCUUCUGCACUCAACUCCAUUCCGGUCUGACUUACGCUUUCUCGAACCUUAACCCUAAUCUUUCUCUUCUCCAUCAUGUACCGAGCUGCAGCCAGCCUUGCCUCCAAAGCACGAAUUGCGGGGAGCAGCAGCCGACAGAUUGGAAGCAGGCUUGGUUGGAACAGAAACUAUGCAGCCAAGGAUAUCAGAUUUGGAGUGGAAGCCCGUUCUUUGAUGCUUAAGGGUGUGGAAGAGCUUGCUGAUGCCGUGAAGGUGACUAUGGGACCCAAGGGUCGCAAUGUUGUUUUGGAGCAAAGCUUUGGCGCACCAAAAGUUACAAAGGAUGGGGUGACUGUUGCAAAAAGCAUUGAGUUCAAGGACAGGGUUAAGAACAUGGGCGCAAGCCUUGUGAAGCAGGUUGCCAAUGCAACUAAUGAUGUUGCUGGUGAUGGUACAACAUGUGCCACUGUCCUUACAAGAGCAAUAUUCGCUGAAGGGUGCAAGUCAGUGGCGGCUGGCAUGAAUGCAAUGGAUCUAAGGCGUGGCAUCACAAUGGCUGUUGAUGCUGUAGUGACCAACUUAAAGAGCAGGGCUAGAAUGAUCAGCACUUCAGAAGAGAUAGCACAGGUUGGUACCAUAUCAGCUAAUGGAGAAAGAGAGAUUGGUGAGCUAAUUGCAAAGGCUAUGGAGAAAGUUGGAAAAGAGGGGGUAAUCACCAUCUCGGAUGGGAACACUCUGUACAAUGAAUUGGAAGUUGUAGAAGGAAUGAAACUUGACAGGGGCUACAUAUCUCCCUACUUCAUUACUAACCAAAAGAACCAAAAAUGUGAAUUGGAAGAUCCUCUCAUUCUGAUACACGAGAAGAAAAUUUCAAGCAUUAAUGCGGUUGUGAAAGCGUUAGAGUUGGCCCUGAAAAGACAAAGGCCUCUACUAAUUGUUGCUGAGGAUGUAGAAAGUGAUGCAUUGGCUACCCUCAUCCUUAAUAAGCUUCGUGCAGGAAUUAAGGUCUGCGCCAUUAAAGCUCCUGGUUUUGGGGAGAACAGGAAAGCCGGCUUGCAUGACCUUGCUAUCCUCACUGGGGGUGAGCUCAUCACUGAAGAACUCGGUAUGAAUCUCGAAAAAGUAGAAUUUGACAUGCUUGGUACAUGCAAGAAGGUGACAAUAUCAAAAGAUGACACUGUUAUUCUUGAUGGGGCUGGAGAUAAGAAAGCCAUUGAAGAGAGGUGCGAGCAGCUGAGAUCUGCAAUUGAAGCAUGCACUUCUGACUAUGAUAAAGAAAAGCUGCAGGAAAGAUUGGCAAAGCUUUCUGGAGGCGUUGCUGUCCUAAAGAUUGGAGGGGCCAGUGAAGCCGAAGUUGGUGAGAAAAAAGAUAGAGUAAAUGAUGCUUUGAAUGCAACCAAGGCUGCUGUGGAAGAGGGUAUCUUGCCAGGUGGCGGUGUUGCUCUUCUCUAUGCAUCAAAGGAGUUGGAGAAGCUGCAGACUGCUAACUUUGAUCAGAAAAUUGGAGUUCAAAUAAUCCAGAAUGCCCUGAAGACCCCAGUGCACACCAUUGCUGCAAAUGCAGGAGUUGAAGGGGCUGUUAUAGUUGGCAAGCUUUUGGAGCAGGAUAAUCCUGACCUUGGUUAUGAUGCAGCCAAAGAUGAAUAUGUGGACAUGGUUAAGGCAGGUAUCAUUGAUCCACUGAAAGUGAUUAGAACUGCAUUGGUGGAUGCUGCAAGUGUAUCAUCGUUGAUGACUACGACUGAGGCUGUUGUUGUGGAGCUCCCAAAAGACGAGAAGGAUGUUCCUGCCCUGGGCGGAGGCAUGGGAGGAAUGGAUUACUAAAAUUCUUUUCAAGAAGUUCCAAAAUCACAGAGAAUCUAGAUUAGGAUUUUGAAUGUGUAAUUCUGUGUCAUAGGUUUUGUGCUGAACUGGCGGCAUCAAUUAAUGUAAUCACAGAGGAAAACUGUUGUGUUAUUGGAAAACUAGUGUUUCCGCUGCCAAAAACUUGAUUGUUACAAGCACUACCCCUAAUUUUUUCCUUGCUGAGGAAUGAACCAGGUUUUUCAGUUCAUUCCGGUUCUUGCAGCCUUGGAAACUAGAACUCUACACCAGUUCAGUCUUUGGUCAUAAAAACUCCCAACAACAAUAACGAUCUAGAAGCUAUUCAGAUGCCUCGUCACUGACAGUGGUGGGACGGCGGUAAGGAAAGCUGGAGAACUGUAUCCGGUCUUGUCCCCACUAUUUGAGAAUUCUAAGAUUCCAAAUCCUGGCAUUCGUUGAAUGCUUGCUCGAGUGAGAUAAAGGCAUCUAAAGUAUAUCUCUGGCAAUUUGUAUCAUUUAAAUGAGUAUUUUGUUCUGUAAUCCUUGUGUUAUAGGCGGAGUGAUGCUAUCGUUCCUCAUUGCAUUGGAACGGAUGUAGAGGGGAGAAACUCUAAUCCGCGUUCAUUGUUUCUGCUUUCUACUUGUGUGGUCGGGAAACAGACACUGUAUCUCCUAUGUGCUUGUAUUUGACAUUGUAAUCAGAUUAGUUUGAUCCCUGCAAGUUUUGAAA